UUCCAGCUCCAAUAGCGUAUAUUAAAGUUGUUGCAGUUAAAAAGCUCGUAGUUGGAUUUCAGUCUUAAUUCGUCUGGCCCGCUCCCUUGAGGAGCCGAGUGCCGGUUGCGAAUUGGACUUCCUUCUAGCAUGAAUCUCCCACCGUUAUGCGGCCGGGAAGGACAUCUGGAUCAUUUACUUUGAAGAAAUUAGAGUGUUCAAAGCAAGCUUACGCUGUGAAUAUAUUAGCAUGGAAUAAUAACAUAGGACUCGGGUUCUAUUUUGUUGGUUUCUAGGACUCAAGUAAUGAUUGAUAGGGACAGUUGGGGGUGCUGCUAUUAUAUGGCCAGAGGUGAAAUCCACGGAUUCAUAUAAGAGCAACUUAUGCGAAAGCAUUCACCAAGGAUGUCUUCAUUA
rnacentral:rRNA from 1 species